rnacentral:sRNA from 1 species
UGGACGACGUUAACGUUUUGUGCCUUA